GUACUUGUUUUGGUAGCACAGAUCCUGGAACUACAUAGAGACAGAGAAGAUUAGCACAGUGCCUGUGCAAAGAUGACACUGAAUGUUCUAGAAAAGGAGAUGAGCAUC
rnacentral:snRNA from 1 species